AAGGCCUGCCGGGAGCUUCCGGUCUGGGCGGUGGCGGGCGGCUCGAAGCUGCGCGCGGGCGAGGCAUGUCGGAGGGGCGCGCGGCGCCGGGGAGCGCCGCGCCGCUGGAGGAGUUGAGGAGCUGGCCGGAGGAGCUGUGCCGCCGCGAGCUGCCGUCCGUCCUGCCGCGGCUCCUCUCUAUGUAUCAGCAUUCCGACAAUUGGAUUGAACAUAUUCAAAUUCUGAAAAUUAUUGUGGAAAUGUUUUUACCUCAUAUGGACCACCUGACACUGGAAGAGACUUUCUUCUCACAAGUGCUGCCAAAGACUGUGAAAUUAUUUGAUGACAUGAUGUACGAGUUAACCAGUCAAGCCAGAGGACUGUCAAGCCAUAAUUUAGAAAUCCAGACCACUCUAAGGAAUAUUUUACAGACAAUGGUGCAGCUCUUAGGAGCUCUUACAGGUUGUGUUCAGCAUGUCUGUGCCACCCAGGACUCCAUCAUUCUAGAAAACAUUCAUAGUCUUCCUUCCUCAGUCCUACAUGUAAUCAAAAGUACAUUUGUACAUUGUAAGGAUAGUGAAUCUGUCUAUUCUGGGCAUUUACACCUAGUUUCAGAUCUUCUCCAGGCUCUUUUCAAGGAGGCCUAUUGUCUUCAAAAGCAGCUAAUGGAACUCCUGGAUAUGGUUUGCAUGGACCCUUUAAUAGAUGAAAAUGCUGAUAUUUUGAAUAUGGUAAUAGUUAUUCAUUCAUUGUUGGAUAUCUGCUCUGUUAUUUCCAGUAUGGACCAUGCGUUUCAUGCCAAUACUUGGAAAUUUAUAAUUAAGCAGAGCCUUAAGCACCAGUCGGUUAUAAAAAAUCAGCUGAAACACAGAGAUAUAAUUGCCAGCUUGUGUGAAGACAUUCUUUUCUCCUUCCAUUCUUGUUUACAGUUAGCUGAGCAGAUGACACAGUCAGAGGCACAGGAUAAUGCUGACUAUAAAUUAUUUCAGAAAACACUCAAAUUGUGUCGUUUCUUUGCGAACUCUCUUUUGCACUAUACUAAGGAAUUUCUUCCUUUACUUUCUGAUUCUUGCUGUACACUGCACCAGCUUUAUCUUCAGAUACACAGCAAAUUUCCUCCAAGCCUAUACGCUGCCAGGAUCUCUACAGCACAACAGGAGGAAAUAGCAGGCACUUUCCUAGUUACACUGGACCCACUCAUCAGUCAGCUUCUCACAUUCCAACCUUUCAUGCAAGUGGUUUUAGACAGUAAAUUAGAGCUGCCAUGUGACCUACAGCUCCCACAGUGUCUCCUGCUGGUUGUCAUCAUGGAUAAGCUGCCGGCCCAGCCCGACCACGUGCAGGCGCUGUGGUGCACGGAGAGCCAGCUCUCGGACGCUGCGGCCAGGGUGUCUCUGUUCAGAGCUGUUCUCUGCAGUUUUGAGCAGUGUGCCGGCGAGCUCUCUCUGCCUGUUCAUCUGCGAGGAGUACAGAGUAAAGGGCAAGUGGAAGUCGCCGUCACCCUGUACCAGCACGUUUGUGUUCAUCUCUGUGCAUUUAUCACUUCCUUUCCUCCCUCCUUGUUCCCCGAACUGGAUGUUGCUCUGUUGAAUGCUGUGCUCAGUGCUAAUAUGAUCACGUCUCUGUUAGCUAUGGAUGUGUGGUGCUUCCUUUCCCGAUACGGGACUGCUGAACUCUGUGCGCACCAUGUCACCAUAGUGGCUCAGCUGAUAAAGUCUUGCCCUGGAGAAUGCUACCAGCUCACCAACCUGUCCAUACUGUUGAGGCGACUCUUCUUCUUCAUGGCCCCACCCCAACAGGUGGAGUUCGUCCAGAAAUUUCCCCCCAAAGCAGCAGAAAAUCUGCCUCUCUGGCAGUGUAUUUCCCUCCGGGCAUUACCUGCUGAGCUCAGGAAAGGAGCUGUAUGUGACGUCACCGGAGUUGGGAUCGCACGGUGUCGGGAAUGGCUCAGCAGUCGCCGGACUUGGGGAGAACUUGAAUCUUUGAACACGCUGCUGUCUGCGUUGCUUGCUGUGUGUAAUUCCGCCCGUGAAGCUCUGGAUGUUCCACAGCAAACUGCGAUUAUGGAAACUGGGAGUCAGCUCUGGGCUUUUUUAAACACUAACCUGGUAACAGGUCAGCCGCAUGUUCAGCAGACGCUUAGUCUUUUACUUCCACUAUUGGGAUUUUUUGUUCACACUCUAGAUCCUCAUCUGAUAAGUCAGGUAGUAACUUUGCAGACUUCACUGCUUAAAUUAGAGCCUCCUGACCACGUUCGUUUGGCAGUGCUUGAUUUUGUAUCUUCUCUAGGAAAGUUUUUCAUACCUCAGGCUUUCCAGGACAAACUUCUGCCCAGCCUGUCUUCUAUUUUUGCCUUACUGCUGGCUGACAGGAAUUGGAUAGUAGAACAACAUUCCUUGGAGGCGUUUACUCAGUUCGCAGAGGGAACAAAUCAUGAAGAGAUAGUUCCACAAUGUCUCCGUUCUGAAGACACGAGGAACAAAGUUGUGUCCUUUCUGGAGAAGACUGGGCUUGAAGAUGAAACUGCAGUUGCCAGAGUGGAACGUGUGAAACAGGAAAAAGUCAUUUUCCGGGAACACUUUGCCAAAGUUGCUGUAGAAGCAGCAAAGUGGUCGUCUCUACAGCCUGAUGCAAAGAGAGCCCGUCGGGAGUUCCCCUUGGAAGAAGAGUACAGGUCAGCGCUGCAGGCAGCAUCAGGGGCCUUGGAGGCAGUAGAGUCCUUACUCCAGAAGGCUCCGGCUCCAGACUGGCUUCCACAGAAGAUGGAGAUGCUCCAGGAAAGGCUUGACGAGCUGAGACGACGCGUACUCUAGGCUGACUCUCGGAUGGACCGGACCGUGUCACCAGACAGCCGGGUACGAUUUCCACCAUCCUACACUGUGCUCCGUAGUAACUUCAGCCUUUCCGCAGCUACCUGCUCUUCACAGAAACUGGCCUCAGUCAGACGCACACGGGCUCCUCCUCCACGAACCCAGCGCCGCACCUCUCCGCGGGGCGCCAGCCACCACUCGGGGGGCUUGAGCUUCAGUCGGCACAGACGGCAGUAACGGAGGCUUUUGGGUUUUCUUGUCUGCAGAGCCCACUUUGAGAGAUUACGGGCCAACAGUAUAUAAAACGUCCAGAAAAUGCAGAAAAUAGGAAACAGCAGUAAAUACCAACAGGUAUGAGGAGUGGGGACUCCUGCCAACUUGGCGCACAAAGCCGCCCUCUGGGAGGGACUCCCGAGUCUUAUCUCAAAACUGCACACACCGUCCCCAUACUCCUCUGCUAUGAAAGGGAAAUACAUCUCUCAUCUGCUGUUUGGGGACACACAGACUCCACUCACUCAAGGUGUACGAACACGUCGCGCUUGGAGAGGGGGAGCAGCCACUUCAUCACCCUCUUCAAGCUCCUGACACUGACUUCAGCCCCAAGAAGAGUUGGACCCAUCAGAACUGCAGGACGCCAGUAUUGCUUUACAGAUUCUCCUGGCAUCAAAAUUCAGGAAAAUUCGGACAGUUCUUUUCUACUGUGACAGUUUCUGUGCACUGUCGUAUUCACUAUCCAUGAGAACUGACUGAGAUCUGCGUUUCUUAACAAGGUCACCGUCCUAGUCAGGGUUAAACCAAGGAGCAAAGAAGCAAUGAUGCCGAUAUAAAAUUCUUACUCUUGACUUUUAUAGCCUACAAAGACCAGAAAUUACUGCUCCGUCCCAUAUAACAUCCAAUGGGAACAAGCCAGAAAUAAGGAUUUCUUGAAGUAUCUAAAAAUCAACAGCUUUUUACCUAAAAGGCCAUCAACAUCAGAAGAACUUAAACAUCUAGUGUUACAAGCUGCUACAACCUUUUUAGCCAGUGACAGACAAUAUCUAUUAAAAUUUCGAAUACAUACCCUUUGACCCAAUAGGUCUACUUCUGGGACUUUAUCCUCUAGCAAUAAAAGCCAGACUACAUGAAGAUACAGGACAUAGAAGACAUCAAUUGCAGCAAUUAAUAAUCCAGAAAUGAAAGCAAUAUCCAUCAACAGGGAAGUCACAAUGAAUUAUAUUCAAUGAAAUAUUAGGCAGUUGUCAAAACUGCCAUUUCUACGUACUGACCUGGAGACCAGUCCCUGAUAAGCUACUACACAAAAAAAUUAUGUUGUAAAAUUGCAUAUCUUCAUUGUUUUAUUAAAAAAUCCUAUAC